rnacentral:rRNA from 1 species
CGCCAGACUCCUACGGGAGGCAGCAGUGGGGAAUAUUGCACAAUGGGGGGAACCCUGAUGCAGCGACGCCGCGUGGGUGAAGGAGCACCUCGGUGCGUAAAGCCCUCUCGGCAGGGAAGAAACAGACGGGACCUGACUAAGAAGCCCCGGCUAACUACGUGCCAGCAGCCGCGGGAAUACGUAGGGGGCAAGCGUUAUCCGGAUUUACUGGGUGUAAAGGGAGCGUAGACGGCAGAGCAAGUCUGAAGUGAAAGCCCGCGGCCCAACUGCGGGACUGCUCUGGAAACUGCGUCGCUGGAGUACGGGAGGGGCAGGCGGAAUUCCUGGUGUAGCGGUGAAAUGCGUAGAUAUCAGGAGGAACACCGGCGGCGAAGGCGGCCUGCUGGACCGUGACUGACGUUGAGGCUCGAGAGCGUGGGGAGCAAACAGGAUUAGAUACCCCGGUAC